UGUGACAAAAAUACCAGAAUGGUAUGACCAUCAUGGUCUUACCUAGCCAACAUUCUCUCAGUCCCCAGUGGGAGAAUAGUCAAGGAAGACAUCAUAAAGAAGCAAACAUGUAGCUUUUCUGUGGGUGGAAAGGAAAAGGAGGGCAGCUGGGGGCUCUACUCAGUGUUGUUGUCACUCCAGGACCCCGCUUGAUAGAGAAGCUGCCAUCUGGAUUAUUACAGGUUGUCAAAGCAGAGGGAAAGAGAACUCUGGCAAUUAAAUGCUUCAGCCUAAAAGUGACACAUGAGGAUCCAACAUGAAGGAGUCUGGCCCACAGCUGGAGUGUCUCACAGUCUCGUGGUAGGUUCCUCACCCAGUCAUCUGUGGAGUGAUAGGACUGGCUGGAGGUAGGAGUGGGGUGGGGGUUUCUAUACUCCCCUUGCACAGGUGCUGUCCAACUUCAUUCCAGCUCCACCCUCACAAAGUUCACCAAACCCAUAUCCCACUUUAUUACUAUUUCCUUAAUAUCUUUAUUGAAACCACUCACUUAUUUAGCCUAUGUAUCUACUGUAGCUUCCUCCUAAGCAAAGUAUCUGUAGAGCAUAUGUUGGGACAUACUAGUGACAUUUUAUGCAAUACACACAGAAAUAAAGGAAAACAAAAGAAAUUUAAAAAUAAAAUAUUUUAAAUGCCCAAGUGCCACCAGAAGACAUCCUGCAACCACACUCUGAGAAAGCCUGUCCUAUAAGGAAGGACUUAGAUAAGUCUAAAAUUGUGAUUUUUUUUUCAGGCUAUCUCCCUAGGUGGCCAAAUGACCUCUCUUUAGCAUUUUUAUAUUCAAGUCCUUUUGACAAAUAUGCAAUCCCUGACCUCGACUCUUGCUCAGGUUCUUUCCAGAUGCUCAAGCUUUAGACAUUCAACAAUACACAUGUUAAGGGCUUCCUGUGGGCAAAGCCCACUCCAUAAGCCCAUGGAGGGCACCAGUGGCUACUUCCUUGCUGACUUGUUAAAUACUACCAGGCAGUGUCUGGUCAAGGGCAGUUCUGAGGUUUUGUGCACUGCUGGCUUACCUGGCCCCAUUCUGAGACGGGAGCCAUCAUUCAGGUCACAGGGAUACCCGUGCUUGGGCGUGGGCAUGGAGGAAUUCACUUGCUGUGAAAUGCCAGGAAUCACUGACGUUUACAUCUUCUCAGGGGUCCUCGAAGUUCUGUUCUCCAAGAGCUCCCCGAUUGCUGGACGGGUGCCUUUAUUUCUCAGGAGACAGGCAGUGAAGCUCAGCCAGUUUCUUCCCUGUUUUUUCUAUUAAAAGCCUCUUUAGUCAGGAGGCAGCUUCACUGGCAACUUGACCUGUGUGUUUUGCAGUCACUCUCUGACCCUAGAUUCAAGAUUCUAACAACAGAUCAUUAAGGUCAUUGAUUGCAAGCACCAGGCACUGACUCUGGAGAAAAGAGGAUUUUAUGAGAGCAACACUGGAGAAUUUGCAGAGCUAGGGGGGGCAGAUGGACAAUAUGACUUCAGGUAGGGCAGGAACCUGAGCAGGUAGUUGGAAACCACAGCAGGAUCCGUGGGGGCUGCUGUCAUGUGACCCCAUCUCAGAGUUUGAUUGACUGAGCUCAGAUCCUGGCCGCACCCCUUAUGGGGGGGAGGACAGGAUAGGAUGAUUGACAGGUCUCCGGAAAGGGAAGGAAAGAGUGGGGUGCCGUUGUCAUAAAAAGAAGAAAGAAGGCUAAGUUUGAGAAAACCCAGAUAUCUACUUCUGAGAUGCACAAGGAAUAACAGAAUGAGAGAACUGGAAGGUAACUUAGGGUUCCUUUACUCAACCCAACAAGUUGGAGAUUAGGAAAUCAAGACCCAGAGAGGUGAAAUAAUUGUCUGGGGUCCCUGGCUCUUCCACAGCAAAGCUGGGCCCCAAAUCCAGCCAAGUUCCCUGACUCUCAGUACAGGGUUUCUUCUACUUCACACUCUGUGGACAAAGAAAGAAAAUGUGUGGCGGUUAAGUCUCUGGGAUCUUCUCAUCACUCCCAGCAGGACACCCGUCUCCCCGCGGUUCCAGAAGACACCCCAAGGAAGAUGAAUUGGGCUGUUGACUCGGAGCAGAAGGAGACCGAGAGCCUAUGCCUCUUCCAAAAGCAAGGCACUGCCUGGUGCCCGCGUCUUGGAAUGUGCUGGCUUCAUCGCUCUGACAGCAUGAAGGAUGUUUGGUUUUGUUCCCAGUGCUGUUAUCAUUUAUCAUCCUUUUGUAAAAGCUGGCACCCUCCACCUGCCCCGUCUUCCUUCUCGCUGUCUCCCAAUCCCCACCUCCAACCCAACCUCCCCAUUCUGCCCAUACCCCCUGCCACUGAGGGGAGCCCUCUCAUACUUUACCGCCAAGAGAGUGCUCCCGCAUCGGUUUCCAGAAGCCCAAGAGAUGCCCCAAUUGAAUUCAACUGAAACAUUUGCUGAGCAGUUCCUGCGGGCAAACUAAUGUGCUUUGGAUGGUAAAAGCCAAGUCCCUGACUUCAGGCACCUUGCAUUCCAGUAAGGAAAUAACCAUGAAGAACCCCCACAACACGGGGGUGUGCAGGGAGCAGGGGAGAAGAACCACACAUUUGAAGAGCCUUUUAGAUAGCGGAGGCAGCUGGGUGGAGGAUGGUGACAGAAUGGGGAAGUCUUCUGGAAAAGAUGGCUGAGAACACAAAGGGGAUGAAGUCACAGCUAGAAGAGGAGCUGUCUUGGCUGAGCUGGUUUGAAGGUGGGGGGAGCAGGGGCUACCGGAAGGAGUGAGGUUGAGGAGUCAAGAGACAGGACAUGGUCAAUGGUGCAAAGGCCCCAUAGGGUCUGCUGAGGCAGGGCCCAGUCAGGCUGGCUACAACAACUUAUUUCAAGAAAUAAGAAGGCAUCUUAUUUCAAGAGCAAAGGAAAGGAAGACACUGGUAUGUGACCGUGGGGGGACACUUGGUGACAGAAGGGAGCUGUAUUAGCUCCAUCUUCGUAGUGAAUUGGGAGGUGACCUCACCUGCUGAAGAACAGGAUUGGUCUGAGACCUUAGCAUGCUGGAGGUUGGGAUAUCCACUGAGGAUAAAAUAGAAAUACAGGUGAAAAUAUUAAAAAAAAAGAGUCUGAGGGAUAAAAGAGCUGUUUAAGGGGCGCCUG